UACGAAGGGGGCUAGCGUUGCUCGGAAUCACUGGGCGUAAAGGGUGCGUAGGCGGGUCUUUUAAGUCAGGGGUGAAAUCCUGGAGCUCAACUCCAGAACUGCCUUUGAUACUGAAGAUCUUGAGUUCGGGAGAGGUGAGUGGAACUGCGAGUGUAGAGGUGAAAUUCGUAGAUAUUCGCAAGAACACCAGUGGCGAAGGCGGCUCACUGGCCCGAUACUGACGCUGAGGAGCGAAAAGCGUGGGGAGCGAACAGG
rnacentral:rRNA from 1 species